GAGGUCAUGAAUCUAUAUACAGGUAUAUAUUUCUUUCCAUAAUAUUUUUCUUUCUGUUGGUGGCGGUAAUGCACUUGCAACCGCGAAUGAACAGAGAAGAAGAAGGAGGAGGAGGAGGAGGAGAAAAAAAUAAUAAUAAGAAGAAGAAGCGUUCUCCACGCGCAUCGCCCUUUCUCACUCACUUAGCGGUUAAUCUUUUGAGUGGGAGGCGGUAGAGCACCUAAAGCCGGUUUGCCAACUGCCAAUAAACAGAAGAGAAUAAGACGAAUCACCACUACUGCCCUCAGUCUGGGAUCUGAUGGAGGAGAAAGAGGAGAGUGAAUAAU